AAGAUGGAACAUUGCAAGCCAUGAGUGAAGCUCUUGGAACGCGCUGGGGACCUGGUCUCUUCAUUCAGGGUGUGGGGGACAUGUGAGCUCCUCAGAUGCAACAGAGUUUUGGGCAAAGCUCCGGACAGAUGGAUGUCUUGCAUGUAGGACAACAUCUUUAUGAAGAGCAGGGGGUGUGUGUCUACAUGUAAGGGCACUUUGACUGAGCCUGGUGGGACAUGUCCUGAGAACCUGUUUGGCAUCCAUGUGGAUCCUGGCUGUGAAGAUGCUGAAGGCACAUCACAUCGGACUCUGGGUCUCUCUUCCUGGGCUUGACAGAUGCAGCUCUUAGAGCUGAGAGCUGGACCUGCCUCCGGGAGCCCGGCUUCCCUGCCGGGCUGUGCCGCCACUGCCGUUCACAUGGCUUCUUUACGGGAGCCGCUCCUUUGUCUCAGGGAAGGAGGGCUUUCCUGAAUCCCCCAGCUUUGCCCAGCCCCUAUCUGAGUGUACCGGGAUUGGGAUGAAACCACAGUGAGGGAGAGGGGUGGGGAGGUAGAGCAGCUCCCUUUGCUCCCUGGGCUGGGUAGGCUCUGCUUGAUUAGCAUGAGAAUAGGGAGACUUUCCUGCAUCCUCCCUCAGGGAUGGAGAGGAAGGAGCAAAGGCUCUAGCUCCAUCAUACCCCAUCAGAGCUCCUGGGACUGAAAAUGACUACCACCCCAUUCCUCCGAUCCCCGAGGACCCAGAACCCACAGUGUUGAGAAAAGCUUUGACGGAGCCGGCGGGUGGAUCUCCACUCCAGAUUUUCCAGCUGUCCCUGCCCCCCCACCGCUCGGAGCAGGAUGCCGAGAUGGCUGGUGAUGCAGAAGAAGGAUCACUGGCACACAGGGACCGAGGUGCCAGACCACGGGUUCUGGGACCACGGUGGUUCCCUCCUUCUCCUCUGAGAACACAAAAAGGCAGAUGGACCCACAUGCCCAUGAGGAAAUGUCCAGCUGUCCUCUAAGAUGUGUCUAUUACAGACACUGAACGCUGGAUCCCAGGAAAACGCCCAGCGAGGGUUGUGGCUGGAGGCUGAGGGGCUCCCCCCACCUGCGUGCAGUAGGGUGAAGGUGUGUGAUCCCCACACACGGGAUGGGAGCUGCUAGGGCCCGGUGCCCUCACCCUCGCCCCAUGGUCUCGCCUUGCCUUCCAGACAUGCUCAGACUCUUGUUCCCAAAGCCUUCAUUGGAGAAGGCCUCCUUCCUGUGGAGGAAGGGCCACGGGCUUGGUCUCAGCCACCUGCUCAGACCUCAGGAAGAGACUAAAGGGAGAGCUGUCUUGUCCUGUCACCGCCGAGGCCUCUGUUCUGUGGGCCGGUCACUGCACAGCUGUGUCCCAUGACUCAGCAAGGUCAUGGCCACCCCAGGAUGACACCCACCGCGGGGUCUGGAAAUUCUCCCUUCUUCACAGCUUCUGUGAUAGACUUCCCUUCCUCCUCGGCCGUGGGGCUCUCCAGCAGUUGUCUGACUAUUUGGAGAUCUCUUUGAGGGCUUGGGGGUCUGUGCUGAGGAGCUCAAGAGACUGAAGUUUCUACCGUGUGUGCAGGAGGCGUGCAGACGUGCAAGGCUCCAGGUGAUUCUUCGCUGGCUUUACAUGCAUGGCCCAGCCAGCAACCACUGAGCUAGCCUGGGGGGCCGGGUGAUGGUGGUACAUUGACCUGUUCCUCUUCACAACAUUCCUGCAAGGUGGACGCGACAUCUUUCUUUUCCGAUAAGACUCAGAGAGGCUCAGCCAUACGCCCGAAGGCAAGUGCUGGUGCCUGGAGGAUGUGAAGGUAACGCCACAUUACACUCCAAACACCGCGUCCCCCCAGGCUUCUGCCUGCAGUGGUAGGAUUUCCUGUUUGGCCUCAUGCCCGCCAGGGUUUGGAUCAGUCAGACCUGCACGUGCUUCCCUGUGGAUCGUGAAGCUCGGUCUCACCGGGGUUGCUGCGUUCAUUUCCUGGAUGCCCUGUGAGGAGGGUAAUCUGUUGUAAAGAUUAAAUCCAGUUUUCCCCCCUGCAUCGCACAUGCCUGGCUACAUCCCUCCUCCAGCCCGCAGGAACUUCAGAUGCCUUUGAAUAUGCGGAGAGCCAGGGAGGAGAGCUGAAGGAAGCCGCUAAGCCUUGGGAAUUAUGUGUGCUGCCACCAAUCCUUUUUCUAUUUGUAAAUGUCACGGAGGGGUGUGUGUGUGUGUUUGUGUGAGCAUUUCUGUAAUAUUUUUUAUUUAUGCAGAAACAGAUUGGUAUUUGGUUAAGAUUUUAGGAUCUGGAGAAAAACUUCCUGGAAUCAAAUUCUGACUUGUCUACUAUGUCCUUGUGACCUUGGGCAGGUAACCUACCCUCUUCACCCUUUGUUUCUCUAGCUAAAUGAUGGACACCAGAAUUUUUCCCAUCCGCAGGGCUGUGGUUGGGCCUGGAGAAUCCCCCAAAAGUCGUGAGGAUGCCCCUUCUCCCUCUCAGCUUCCCCACAUGGGCUGUCUGUGCCCCCAGGCCCCAUGUGCUCCCCUCCCCCAGAAGAGAACCUCGGCCUGUUCCCAUCUGAUGCUGUGGGGCUGGCAAGUAGCUAAUCUGUGUAA